AUUGAACGCUGGCGGCAGGCCUAACACAUGCAAGUCGAGCGAGCGGCGGACGGGGGAGUAAUGUCUGGGAAAAUGCCCGAGGGAGAGGGCUAACUACUGGAAACGGUAGCUAAUACAGCAUACCAUCAGAUGUGCCCAGAUGGGAUGAGCUCGUAGUUGGGGUAACGUCUCACCUAGCAGACGCUCCCUAGCUCGUCUGAGAGGAGGACCAGCCACACUUGAACUGAGACACGGUCCAGACUCCUACGGGAGGCAGCAUUGGGGAAUAUUGCACAAUAGGCGCAAGCCUGAUGCAGCCAUGCCGCGUGUUUGAAGAAGGCCUUCGGGUUGUAAAGCACUUUCAGCGGGGAGGCGUUACCAACAGAAUAAGCACCGGCUAACUUCGUGCCAGCAGCCGCGGUAAUUC
rnacentral:rRNA from 1 species